UCAAAAAUUAUUCUCAGUUAUAGUGAGUGUGUGAAUGUAAUUCACUUUCAGACUAGUGCAGGAAAUGUCUCAUGUGAUGUGAUUAGUAAUUAAUCUUUAAAAUGCAGUAAGUAGUAAGUGUAAGUUUAAUGUCUGUUUUAUCAUUAGAAAACGAAGAGAUGCUAUAGCUGAAGACCUCACAGUGAAACAGGACAAUCUGUACUCUGACGUAACAGGGAGAGACGUUCAUGUUUCUGAAUCAGCUGAUUUUGACGACGCUCAGUACGCCACUGUUACUUCCAGCAAACCCAGAAGAGACAGAAACGCUCCUGAUCGCAGAGAUUCUGAGGAGAUCCAGUACGCAACUGUACAACAUCACAAAAACAAACAGACCAAGAGAUCAGAGGAGAACGAAAGCCAGUACGACAAUAUCAGGAUUCACCAGCCUGAAUCUGCUGUGAGGCGAUCAAAUGUGCAGACCGUGGAAGAGACUUCUGUGAUCUACAGCUGUGUCAAAUGAGUAAUAGAGACCAUCAUGAAGACAAAGGCCAAAACAAUUAAACAAUAUUAUGAAAGUAUGGCUGUCAAUGUAGCAUAUUUAUUAUUCAUUAUUCAUUAAAAGGGGACCUAUUAUGCCCCAUUUUACAAGAUGUAAAAUAAGUCUCUGAUGUCCCCAGAGUGUGUAUGUGAAGUUUUAACUCAAAAUACCCCACAGAUAAUUUUUUAUAUCAUGUUAAAAUUGCCAGUUUUUGGGGGUGAGCAAAAAAGUCUAUCGCUAAAGUGGUUUAGUAUAAUUCCCUCCCAGAAGCACCUCAUAUGAUUGCGUUCACAAACAUCUGAAUGCAAGAUAACAUGACAGUUUUUCUUGUGUUUCAUCUGCGUGAGAAAGAGUCCGUCAGAGUCAAGCAGUCAUGGGCGGUUUGUACAUUAUCUGCGAACUGCUUAUUCUGAGACACUGUUUAUGAUUUAUGGGGAUUAAAAAAAGCAGUGGGUGGAUUUUUAUCAUUAUAUGGUGGUGGUGUACACACACUGCCAACACACAUUUAUGUUCAAACACCAUGUAAAAGUGAAUUUUGUGUAAUAGGUCCCCUUUAAAUCAGGUAAAUAGAUGGCAGGAACAAAGUGUCUGUAAUCUUUUCUACAUUACAAGAGCAGAAUACAAAUAAAAGAGCUAUAGACCCACAACAUGGUGUUUGGUAAGACUAAAAAACCUUUUGUGAUGUCACUGGCUGGUAAUUUGUUUCUUAAAGUUGAUUUGAACUUUUGAAUUCAAAUGUUUUCUGUGAGCAAAUAAAAAGACCAUAUCAGUUUUACCAAA